rnacentral:rRNA from 1 species
UACGGAGGGUCCGAGCGUUAUCCGGAUUUAUUGGGCUUAAAGGGUGCGUAGGCGGCCUAUUAAGUCAGGGGUGAAAGACGGUAGCUUAACUAUCGCAGUGCCUUUGAUACUGAUAGGCUUGAAUGUACUUGAGGUAGGCGGAAUGUGACAAGUAGCGGUGAAAUGCAUAGAUAUGUCACAGAACACCAAUUGCGAAGGCAGCUUACUAAAGUAUGAUUGACGCUGAGGCACGAAAGCGUGGGGAUCAAACAGG